rnacentral:tRNA from 1 species
AAGAGGGUCAUAAGGGUUAUGGGGUUGGCUUGAAACCAGCUUUAGGGGGUUCAAUUCCUUCCUCUCUUG